rnacentral:rRNA from 1 species
UAACGAAUCUUCCGCAAUGCACGAAAGUGUGACGGAGCAAUGCCGCGUGCGGGACGAAGCGGCUCCGCCGUGUAAACCGCUGUCAGGCUCUAGAAAGAACUGAUCGGAGCCAGAGGAAGGGCCGGCUAAUCUCGUGCCAGCAGCCGCGGUAAGACGAGAGGCCCGAGCGUUGAGCGGAAUCACUGGGCUUAAAGGGUGCGUAGGCGGAGUGGCAGGUGUCUUGUGAAAGCCCACGGCUCAACCGUGGAAUUGCAGGGCAAACCACCAUUCUUGAGGUCGGUAGAGGAUGUCGGAACGUUGGGUGGAGCGGUGAAAUGCGUAGAGAUCCAACGGAACGCCAAUGGUGAAGACAGGCAUCUGGGCCGAACCUGACGCUGAGGCACGAAAGCGUGGGGAGCAAACAGGAUUAGAUACCCCCGUAGUCC